CUGGCUAUUAUAUUCCACGUUUUUGCUAACCUGCUAUGGGCAGGAGUACUAGCAUGGGAGAGGAUUAAAGUUAUUAAAAUAAAUAACUAGUAUUGGUGUUGGAGAUCGAGAGGAAUUCAAUUCGUAAAAUCCGCGCUUUAAUGAUCGGGUAUCGGCAAGCUCGAAGGCGAAAACUAAGCUCGGGACCUGAUUGAUUUUAAUUCUACCGUCGGCUUUUCUCUUCUCUUUUAACUUCAACGGCGAUCAAUCUUUUGUACUAACGCUCGGCCCUCCCUUUGUUAAGAUAUCUUUUGUUCUUAUGAUUCUUUGUUGCUUUUGACAUUUAAUGUAAGCAAUAAUCUUGCAAUUUAUGAUCCUCUCUGUUUUAAACCUGUGAAGUUUCGCAAGCCUUGCCCAAAGAUGAGCCUUAUUGCUAGCAGUGGGAGGAGGAAUGCGAAAUACCGUGAUCGCAGGUUAACACAGCGAAUGAUCGACUAAACGUUUUGUAAAUUUUGAAGUAGGUUGUUCUAUUUUAAUUGCCACUUGAAAAUGACGGCAGAACGGAGAUGUCGAUAAGCAACAAUAAGGGUAAAACCUUGCCUCUGUGAUUCGAUUUUGCUUUUUCUAUUUCAUGUCAAGGAGGAGUUUAACGGUCCUCUCUGUGUGAAACUUGAGUGAUUUCGCAAGCCUUGCCCAAAGACGGGCGAUAUUCGCCAACAGUGGGAGAAGGAAUGCGAAGAUCGUUAAGUGUUUUCUUCGAAAUAAAGAAAACACUAUUAUACACAAGCAACACAGCGAAU